CCCAGCCACAAAAUAUACACCUCAUAUCAUUUACUCGUCUCGAAAUUCAGGGUACAAGUAGAGUCCAGAACAGAGAAAAUCUAAAGUGGGAUACUGGAGGCACUGCAGAACAGCAAGCAGAUCUACAAGUACAUUGAUCCACCAGAUGUGGACCUCUGAAAAUGGCUCUAUUUAAAAGUUGUUAAAAAGGGGAAGAAACCCCCUCCUCUGCCUUAGUUGUGAAUAGCCGAC